rnacentral:tRNA from 1 species
CUGAUAGCCAAGUGGUAAGGCAAGGGUCUGCAAAACCCUUAUGCGGGGGUUCAAUUCCCCCUCA